AGGGUUUGAUCAUGGCUCAGAACGUACGCUGGCGGCACGCCUAAUACAUGCAAGUCGAACGAAGUAGCAAUACUUAGUGGCAGACGGGUGAGUAACAUGUAGGUAUCUUCCCAUUGGUGAGGAAUAACACGAGGAAACUUGUGCUAAUACCUCAUAAGUCUUUACGGAGAAAGCUUUAUGCGCCGAUGGAUGAGCCUGCACUUGAUUAGUUUGUUGGUAGGGUAAUGGCCUACCAAGACAAUGAUCAAUAGCUGAUUUGAGAGGAUGAUCAGCCACAUUGGGACUGAGACACGGCCCAAACUCCUACGGGAGGCAGCAGUAGGGAAUCUUGCACAAUGGGGGAAACCCUGAUGCAGCGAUGCCGCGUGAGUGAAGAAGGCCUUUGGGUUGUAAAGCUCUUUCGUCGGGGAAGAAAAUGACUGUACCCGAAUAAGAAGGUCCGGCUAACUUCGUGCCAGCAGCCGCGGUAAUACGAAGGGACCUAGCGUAGUUCGGAAUUACUGGGCUUAAAGAGUUCGUAGGUGGUUAAAAAAGUUGGUGGUGAAAUCCCAGAGCUUAACUCUGGAACUGCCAUCAAAACUUUUUAGCUAGAGUAUGAUAGAGGAAAGCAGAAUUUCUAGUGUAGAGGUGAAAUUCGUAGAUAUUAGAAAGAAUACCAAUUGCGAAGGCAGCUUUCUGGAUCAUUACUGACACUGAGGAACGAAAGCAUGGGUAGCGAAGAGGAUUAGAUACCCUCGUAGUCCAUGCCGUAAACGAUGUGUGUUAGACGUUGGAAAUUUAUUUUCUGUGUCGCAGCGAAAGCAAUAAACACACCGCCUGGGGAGUACGACCGCAAGGUUAAAACUCAAUGAAUUGACGGGACCCGCACAAGUAGUGGAGCAUGUGGUUUAAUUCGAAGAUACGCGCAGAACCUUACCAACACUUGACAUGUUCGUCGCGACUUUAAGAGAUUAAAGUUUUCGGUUCGGCCGGACGAAACACAGGUGCUGCAUGGCUGUCGUCAGCUCGUGUCGUGAGAUGUUGGGUUAAGUCCCGCAACGAGCGCAACCCUCACUUUUAGUUGCCAUCAUUUAGUUGGGCACUCUGAAAGAACUGCCAGUGAUAAGCUGGAGGAAGGUGGGGAUGACGUCAAGUCCUCAUGGCCCUUACGUGUUGGGCUACACACGUGCUACAAUGGUAUCUACAACAGGAAGCAAGACUGCGAGGUCAAGCAAAUCCUUAAAAGAUACCUCAGUUCGGAUUGCACUCUGCAACUCGAGUGCAUGAAGCUGGAAUUACUAGUAAUCGUGGAUCAGCGUGCCACGGUGAAUGCGUUCCCGGGUCUUGUACACACCGCCCGUCACACCAUGGGAGUUGGUUCUACCUUAAGGCAAGGUUUAAAACCCUUGACCACGGUAUAGUCAGCGACUGGGGUGAAGUCGUAACAAGGUACCGU
rnacentral:rRNA from 1 species